rnacentral:rRNA from 1 species
GACGAACCCUGGCGGCGUGCUUAACACAUGCAAGUCGAACGGAAAGGCCCUGCUUUUGUGGGGUGCUCGAGUGGCGAACGGGUGAGUAACACGUGAGUAACCUGCCCUUGACUUUGGGAUAACUUCAGGAAACUGGGGCUAAUACCGGAUAGGAGCUCCGGCUGCAUGGUGGGGGUUGGAAAGUUUCGGCGGUUGGGGAUGGACUCGCGGCUUAUCAGCUUGUUGGUGGGGUAGUGGCUUACCAAGGCUUUGACGGGUAGCCGGCCUGAGAGGGUGACCGGCCACAUUGGGACUGAGAUACGGCCCAGACUCCUACGGGAGGCAGCAGUGGGGAAUAUUGCACAAUGGGCGGAAGCCUGAUGCAGCAACGCCGCGUGCGGGAUGACGGCCUUCGGGUUGUAAACCGCUUUCGCCUGUGACGAAGCGUGAGUGACGGUAAUGGGUAAAGAAGCACCGGCUAACUACGUG